rnacentral:rRNA from 1 species
UACGAAGGGGGCUAGCGUUGUUCGGAAUUACUGGGCGUAAAGCGCACGUAGGCGGAUCGAUAAGUCAGGGGUGAAAUCCCAGGGCUCAACCCUGGAACUGCCUUUGAUACUGUCGAUCUGGAGUAUGGAAGAGGUGAGUGGAAUUCCGAGUGUAGAGGUGAAAUUCGUAGAUAUUCGGAGGAACACCAGUGGCGAAGGCGGCUCACUGGUCCAUUACUGACGCUGAGGUGCGAAAGCGUGGGGAGCAAACAGG